GGUGCUGCAUGGCUGUCGUCAGCUCNNNUCGUGAGAUGUUGGGUUAAGUCCCNCAACGAGCGCAACCCCUAUCUUUAGUUGCCAUCAGGUUGGGCUGGGCACUCUAGAGAGACUGCCGGUGACAAGCCGGAGGAAGGUGGGGAUGACGUCAAGUCCUCAUGGCCCUUAUGUCCUGGGCUACACACGUGCUACAAUGGCGGUGACAGUGGGAAGCUAGGUGGUGACACCAUGCUGAUCUCUAAAAACCGUCUCAGUUCGGAUUGCACUCUGCAACUCGAGUGCAUGAAGGUGGAAUCGCUAGUAAUCGCGGAUCAGCAUGCCGCGGUGAAUACGUUCCCGGGUCUUGUACACAC
rnacentral:rRNA from 1 species